UACGUGACUAACAAUAUAGUAGUAGUAGUAUUACAUAUAUGACAAAAUAAUUGUGAAUCAUGAAGGAGAAAAUGUACGAUGAAGUAUCAAUGCCAUUAAUAUAAUGAAUAAUUUCGAUAUUUUCGUAAAUGUGGAAACGUUAAUGUUAUUUAUUUUAUAGAGAUGGCUUUUGCUACAUUGUUAUUUACAGAACCUAAAAAUAAAUAUAACCUACAGUAUCACUAAUUAUUAAUAAACCAAAUACCUGUACAAGCAUUAAUAUUAUCAUAGAAAUGAUAAUAUUAAAAAUAUAGAAGGUAAAUUAAAGGCUAACUUAGGCUUGGUGCCUACAUCCACAUUGCAAGCUAAAUCACAGUUUAAUAACAUAAUGAUAUUAUAAUCUAUUAAAAUUAAUUUUACAUUGUUUAAAUAAAUAUAGGUUAUCGAUAUUAGAAAAAAAGUUUUAGGUUAUAGUGUAAAUGUAGUGGUUGACAUAUAAAGAUCGAAAUACAAUUAUUUACUGAAUAAUUUCUAUAUAGAUUUAUUUACAAAUAUAUAGGGUAUCCGGUAACUUUUGACACAGCAUUAAUAAUAUAUAUAUAUUUUGAAUUGCUAUAGGCAUAUUUAGAGCAAAGACGAUACUUUGUAUUUUUAAGUAUAUAUAAUGAGAACAAAAAUGAGUUUCAUAAUGGCAAAUAUACUGUGAAACAAUAUUGGGAAAAAAAUUGCAAAAACUAUGCAAGAAAAAAAAAUACGACGUAACAGGCUUAAAAUAUUUUACAAAAUUUUAAACUUUAAAACGUAUAUAUGAAGAAAUUGUAGACUACAAUAAUCAAAGUAGUAAUAACUAAAAAAUGGAAAUAUUUUAUGAUAUUACGUAUUUUCAAAACUUAUUUUCAUAUAAAGAUGUAUGCAUGUUGUUAUAUAUGUAUACUCUUUGUCUUUACAGAUUAUGCAGGAAUUGUUUGCAAAUAAACCGUGGGUGCAACGGUUGAGAGUUAGAUCUCAUAUUAAUAAAAUUGAAGAAAAAGUGGAUGAGCUACCAGAAAAAAUAAGAUUGUUAGAUUAUAUUAAAAAAGAAGUUGAAUACAUUUAUAAUGAAAUAUAUAGAAAAGGGAAAAUCAAAAGAAGGAAGAUUCGGGAAGAACAACAUAUGAAAAAAUGCCUGAAUUUAAGCGGAUUGAGAAUUUAAUGGAGAGAAUAUUAGAAAAAAAAGAUUAAUUAUGUCAAAACGAAAAAAAAAAUAAUUUUUAUUUCAUGUUAUAAAGUUUGAGUUAAAAUAUUAAUUCUGUGAUACUAAUGAUAAGAGUUUAUUUUAGUUUUUGAAUUAUUUCUCUGUUUUAUUGUUUUAAUGAAAAAUAUAAUAUAAUUCAUUAUAAUUAAGGAGAAUUUAUAAUAUUUUUCUUGUAAUUAAUAGGAUAUGACUGUAAUAAAUGCAAACCAAAGCAGUAUUUUGUUAGUAUUAUAAAUUGCAAUGGAUA